UGGAAGUAAAAGUCGUAACAAGGUCUCCGUUGGUGAACCAGCGGAGGGAUCAUUACCGAGUUUACAACUCCCAAACCCCUGUGAACAUACCACUUGUUGCCUCGGCGGAUCAGCCCGCUCCCGGUAAAACGGGACGGCCCGCCAGAGGACCCCUAAACUCUGUUUCUAUAUGUAACUUCUGAGUAAAACCAUAAAUAAAUCAAAACUUUCAACAACGGAUCUCUUGGUUCUGGCAUCGAUGAAGAACGCAGCAAAAUGCGAUAAGUAAUGUGAAUUGCAGAAUUCAGUGAAUCAUCGAAUCUUUGAACGCACAUUGCGCCCGCCAGUAUUCUGGCGGGCAUGCCUGUUCGAGCGUCAUUUCAACCCCCAAGCACAGCUUGGUGUUGGGACUCGCGUUAAUUCGCGUUCCUCAAAUUGAUUGGCGGUCACGUCGAGCUUCCAUAGCGUAGUAGUAAAACCCUCGUUACUGGUAAUCGUCGCGGCCACGCCGUUAAACCCCAACUUCUGAAUGUUGACCUCGGAUCAGGUAGGAAUACCCGCUGAACUUAAGCAUAUCAAUAAGCGGAGG
rnacentral:rRNA from 1 species